CACGUACUCCCUCCGUUCGGAAUUACUUGUCUCGAAAAUGGACGUAUCUAGAACUAAAAUACGUCUAGAUACAUCCAUUUUCGCGACAAGUAAUUCCGAACGGAGGGAAUACGUG
rnacentral:pre_miRNA from 1 species